GGCCUCGACGCCUUAAAGCAACCCAAAAUCCCUUUGGGGGGGGGGGGGCGAGCAGCGCCUCCUCCCCGCCGCCAGGAGCCGCUGCGGGCCGGCAGCCGCCGGGGGGGGGGGCGCCUGCUUUGGCUGCCCGCAGCGCCGCCGCCAUGGAGCCAGGACCCUGGGGCGUGUGCGAGGAGAUGGCCAUCCUGCACGGUGCCUUCCUGCUGGCCUCCAGGCUCGUCCAGCCGCGGGCGCUGAGCGAGCUGCGCAAAGGCGAGUGGGCGCUGGUGGGGCCCCCCAUCACCGACGCCCUGAAGGAGAUCGGUGCCCGCUGCCCUUCCCCACCGCAGGGCAGCCUCUGGAAGAAGGAGGCCGUGGCCGUCGUCUGGGCCAAGGUGCUGCUGCCUGCCCCCCCCGCCGCCUUGCUGGACCAGGAGUGGAGGGAAGAUGCGUUUUUCUCGGUGGGCAGGAUGAUCCCCGACGUGAACCACACCGUCCUGUUCGAGCUGGUCAAAGCCCUCGGUGAGCCCCGGCAUUUUGUGCAGCUGCUGCUGGCGCUGCCCCACGCCGUGCGCCGCAACGAGCUGCAGCGCUUGGUGCAGUACGUCGCAAGCGAGACGUCCCCGUCGGACAUCAGGUUCUUGCUGGACGUCUGGUGGGAGAUGAUGAGACACGAGGAGGGGCAGGAAGACAGAACAGUCUCUACGUUCAGCGCCCUCGUGCAUCAGCAUGGGGGUGAGUCCUCUCCGGAUGAUGGUCUUCAGCCCCCGAAGAGGUUCAAGGGUGACCCUGGCUCUCUGAGUGGCUCUCCUGCUGCCACCAGCCUGCUAAUGGUGCUGGUAGAAGGGCUAAAGGAAACCUACAGGAGCAUUGCCCAGCCCCGCAUGAAGUGCUGUGCUUUGGCCAACCUGGUGGAGCUGCUGUCGGCGUUCAGCGAGCUGGCAGCAGAGGGCAGCCCCCUCCCUGUCACGGAGUACCUGGAGAAGGUCAGCUCGGUGGUCAGCCUCUGGAGCAGCGACGCUGAAAGCCAGUACCACCACAGGGCGCUGGAUGAACAGGUGAAGGAGGCUGAGAGAAGCGUGAGCUUCUCGUCCCUGGCCAAGCUCUCACGUGAGGAACUCUUUGUGGGUUUGGACUUUCUCUGCAGCUUGCUGCAUGCCUGGGGAGAGGAGCUGCAGGGCAUCCUGAGCAGCUUGGAGGAUCCCUGCUAUGAGAGCUACCGGCUCCUCGAUGCUCUUACUGCCUUUAGGAAGAACCUGGUUUGCUUCUCUGAGAACAGAGGCCUGAGUAAGGAUGAGAUGCACAAAGCGAUCGAGCUGGCACAGACCAUUGAGGACUUUCUCAAGGAGAUCAGCACCAGCCAGAAGAGCAAGGAUUCAGACACCAGCCUUGUGUCUUCAGUUGCCAUGACAAUCAUCGAGCAAAAGCUGCACCGGCACGUGGAGAUGUGCUCCGUUUUUGCUUCUGAAGAGGCCUGGGUCUUCUCAAAGGGCUGGGUUGACUGCCUUGUGAAAAACAAGGAGCUCUUCCAGAAGCCAGAGCUAGUUCUGAAAUUGCUGCAGACUCUGGUGAACUUUGCCAAGUCCUGCCGAGACGGGGAGGCCCGGGAGAUGCAGAUGCAAGUAACCAAAGCCAUCGUGGAAUGUUACAGCGAGCUUUCACUGCCUGACAAAAACCAAGUGAUCUCGGGCGUCCUGGCAUCUUGGGGGGGGGCAGGUCUGUCCCUGAACUUGCAGGUGGUUGUGGAGGGGUUCCAGGAGGAUCUCAAUGUGACGUUCAACCAGAUCACAAAGAGUGUGUCUGACGAAGGCCUUACCAGAGCUGUGGCUUCUGUGGCCAGGCUCACGCUGCUGUACCCUGAGGCCACCGUGAAGCAGGUUUGUAGUCUUGCUGUUGUCAACCUAGGAUCACACCAGUUCCUUGCGCAAAUCCUCUGCUCCCUCCCAGCGCUGAGCUUCCUGGAGACACACGACGAUCCAGGCAGGCCACGCAGCCUGGUGGUGCGGUGCCUGAAGGAGGCAGUAUGGGAGAAGCUUUCUGCUGCAAGGGAGAAGGAGCAGUUCCUCGAGUUUCUGGCCUUUCUCAUGCAGCCAAGCUUAGCUGCUCCACUUGUGUCACCUGCAGAGGUGACCAAAGCCUUUGUCCUUCCCUAUUUGAAAUCAGACUGUGCUCAAACCGAGCUGAGCCUGCAGAUCCUCAGUAAAGUUUUGGGGAUACCGUCCUAUCCCGAAGAGGACUGGAUCAAGUCCUGCCACCCGUUCCCGCUUCUCCUCAGCCUCUGCAAGCUCCUAGAUGGCUACACAAAGUACUGGCACCAGCCCAGGGACCAGCCCUUCCCUUCACUGGAGACCAAAGACCUGGUGCUGAGCACCCUAGGCCAGCUCUGUGAGGCUGUAAGACCAGAAGCUGCUCCCUCCCCGGAGCUGUGGGUCCAGUCGCUGGCGUGGCUUCACAGGAAGGUGGCGUCACUGGACUGGACUGUCGGCCUCCGUCUGAAGAAGUUUUUCGGAGACCACUUUAAGAACGAAGUCCCAGCCACCCUGUUUGAGAUCUGCAAGCUCCCCGAAGACGAGUGGACGUCCCGGUCUUUGCCAGCCUAUGGGCCGGGCAGCGGGCUCCUGGCGUGGAUGGAGUGUUGCUGCGUGUCCACAGCACUCAGGGAGACGAUGCUGACGCUCCUCGUGGUCAACGUGGACAACCCUGAAGAAGUGAAUCUCUUCAGCAAAGGCUUCCUGGUGGCCCUCGUCCAGGUCCUCCCUUGGUGCAGCCACAGCGAAUGGAAGAGGCUCGUGCACGUGGUCACAAACCUGCUGGAGAGGCAAGUGUUGCACGUGCCCUACACGCUGGAGUACGUGCAGUACAUGCCCCUGCUCAACCUCCGGCCGUUUGCCCGCUCCCUGCAGCUCUCCGUGCUCUUCCUGCGGGGCUUCCAGCUCCUCUGCAGCUCCAGCUGUUCCUCCUGGCUGCCGGCAGAGGCCUGGCUCCACGUGGUGCAGCUGUACUGCGGCAGCCUCACGGACCUGCUGAGCUCCAUCAAGAGCCCUGCGGGGUCACCCUCGCAGCCCCCCGAGGCCAGGAGCCCGGCAGAGGAGGUGUCCUUUGUCUGCAUCCAGAUGUUCUGCCACCUCCUGCACGUCGCUGCCAUGCUGCCGCCGGACAGCGGGUGCGGCGAGCUGCUGGUGGUGGUGGCCUUGGAGAUCCUCUCGCAGUACGAGGCGUUCAGCUCCGCCGACAAGUCCCCCAGCAGCGUGCUGCGGAGAGCCAACGAGAGGCACUUCUUGGAGUCCAUCACGGACAACGUCGGCGACCAGGAGCUGCGCGGCACCCUCCUGCAGAAGCUCGGCAAGCUGGGAGCGUAGGCAGCCCCUUCGCUCAGGGGUGGCACGAGGAGCUGAGGGCAACAGGGGAGAGCGUCGGCCCUGCCGCAGGGGACCUGCUAUGUGGAAAGCUUGUGAAUAGCUGUGAACACAACUGCUGCCAGUCCUGCCUCCGACCUCGCAGCAUCAGGGAAAUCAUUUCCCUGCGGCUCCCCUGCCGCCAGCCCUUCUCCUCGUGGCAGGCAGGUUGUUGUGUUUGCUGUACGCUGCCGGAGGGGGGAAAGCGAGUCAGGGAGCGCUCUGCGGGACCGCAGGUACCUCUGGCACUGGGUGUGGGCUGCCCCAGGGCGGGUGUGGGUACCCUGCUGCCUUGGUGCCUCCCCGCCCAGCAAUGAACGGCACGUGGGGAGAGGCAGCCGGUGGCACGAUUGAGGAAAGAAGUCUUUAUUUACUGGUCUCUUCCGACAGGUGCAAUAGUGAACAGGGCAGUGGUGGUGCAGUAGUAAACAGGGCAGUGUUAGUGCAAACUGAGAUGCCUCAUUGGCCUUUCUGUCUUUACGUAAGGCACGUUAUUUGUAAUAAAACCAGCAAGAUACAA